AUUGGGAGAUACCCCGUUCCCCAUCCUAUUCUAUACGAGCGGUUUCUGGAGUCUGGAUAGCGCGCGUCGAACGUUAACGGGAGGUCCUCGGCGGCAAAUCUUCAGCGGUGCUCGUCGAUACUGCUCGGUGUUGGCGGCCCACCUCCCGUUCUAUUCCAAUCAGGCGAUGCAGUGAGGGGCUGCUCAUGGGAUCAACAGUGCGGUGGUCGGCGGGCAGGCGGGGCGGCAUGGUGCUCAACGGCUGGUGUCGAUGUUGGGCGGCCCUCGUAUAUAUGGUGGUCGCGGUGGCUCUACCGUGAAUGGAUGCGGCGGCUCUGCGGCUGAUUGAGUGUUUGGGGUUGUCUGCCUGAAGCUGCAGUAGUUUAGGAAGAAGAUGGAGAAGAAGUAUCCUGGGAAGUAGGCAGAAGCUGACACGGACGAGGGGGCACGUGUGCCAUCUCCUAGAUGUGGAGAGCGGCAACAGCCAUAUAGCACCCCAUUUGAGGAAGCCGCAAGGUUGCAGGUGGGGAGCUCAUGGGAGGAUGUGAGAAACCCUGAUCCCAGUUCCAAUAUGUUUACACUUCUUUUAUGUCUGUGUUCUUCCCAAAUUUUCUGUUUUUCUGAAGCAAUAAGGGAAGGGGGUAUCCAACCUGAAAAGGAAUUUCAUUAAUUAAGGACCAGUGUUACAACUCUUAGGGAACUGGUUCUUUCCAAAUUGCUAAAUCGGUGUUCGAUUUCUGUCGAAUAGGUAGUAUGGAGAGAUCAUGAGACGAAAUGUCAUACCUGGUAUAUGCGCGCUCGUGUUUGCAUGGUAUACUUUUUUUUAUUGUUUUAUAUUAGACAUGCAAUGUUUUUGGAAGCUCUGGUUGUGUUACUGUUUUUUAAGUUCAUGCUGGGAGAGUAUGAAUAUUGAUAAUAGUCGUGAUUCUAGUCGGAGUAAUGCAAAUGUCAUACAGUUUCUUCAGGCUUACACCAUAUAACCAAUUGAAGCAUGGAACUGAUGUUAUCACCUUGUUUCAGUCCCAUGUACUUCUAAGUGACAGCUGAGAACACUGCAUUUCAUUAAUCAUUUUCUUUUUCACACAAUUUUCAGAAGCUAACUCAAGUAGUUAGACAAGUGCAUAAGAAUUGCCAUGGUAGGCCGGUGCGUCCUCUGAUUGCUCUGCAUGUGAUGCCUGCUUGCGACAUGAACAACAACCUCAGGUACAUCUCAGUCAGGAUCAGAGGAAAAUAAAGCUAUUUCUUCCGUGCCAUUUGGAGAUGGGUAUUAGUUUACCAGUGGUCAAGAAAACGGCACCACAUGAUCCUAUAUAGAAUGUACUGCCUACUGAAACAAUGGGAAAAUGAGACAUGCAUUGAAACAAAAAUAACUGACUGGAGUUUAGGCUAGCAAAAAAUCUGUACGUACAGUUCUCUACAUGAGUAACAUUGAUUAUUUCGAGAAAAGCAACCAGCUAUUAUAUCUUCAGCCGACUGCAUGAGUAACAUUGAUUAUUUAUCUGAAUCCAGAGUAGUCAAUUUUUUCUCGUUUGAUGCUGUUUGGCUUGGUUAGUACCAAUUUCCAGUUAGAUUUAUUUCCAUUGCAAAGAGGUGAAUUCUGAUCCUCUUCAGGGCGUCAAUCUUUGCUGGGUUUUAUUUUCGGUACUUUUUGUUUCAUUACAGUGCAAUGAGGAACUUGGAGGUUAGUUGCGCCCAUUUUAUAAAUCAACACGCAUGAAUCUUGAUUAUGUAUGAGAUUAUUCUGAGAUAUUGCCAACAUUUUUUAUGUUUUGGAGAAUGAAUUUAUCUCUUGUGAUAAACUGAGGAGGGUGAAGGCUAUGGUUGUCUGUGCAGACUGUGAGAUGAAUAUCUCUACAGCUGGCAAUUGCUUCUUUUAUAUGGUUGGCCGGUGUGCUGCUUCCGUGGUCUUGUUGGAAGGGCAUAGGGGUCCCCUAGUUGCUGCGGCGUGUCGGGGGUGGCAUGAGCCCGAUACUCCUUGUAGACUAGGUGUCGCUCCUAAGUAUUGUCUCGGCUAUCUCCGUUGCUUUGCUUAUUGUCUGCAGCAUCCUCUGUGCAUUUUCUCGUCCUUGAGUGUGAUGUGUUGUUCAACAGGUGAAGUUUCUACCUCCAUAAGCUCGGCUUAGCACAGUGGCGAUGGUCAUUUUGUAUUCCGGUUGGUCUCAACGGUUGUUUUCACCUUAGGUCUCGAGGGAGCGUCUCCAUCUUCCAAUGGAUUGUUGCCUCCCGUGCCAAGGCGAGGGGGCAGGGAGUGCCCUCCGGAGAUGGAUGAGGUCACAACUAAUUUUCUCUUGUGCCCAUGGUGAUGUCGAGGACGCUUCCUCUCCUGCUGGUUGUUCAUCGUUCCCAAGGCUCUGCUUUUGCUGCUGAUUACUGUCUUGUUCGUCGAGAAGGGCUUCAUCUACUUUAAGCUGGAAAUGUGCCUUAGUUGUUUAUCUUAGCUUGUUGCUUUUGUUGUAACUUGUGAGUGGUUUGCUGAACCCCUUGUAUCUUUUGUUGUUUUCUUUUCUUUGUUUGUUGGUGUUUUCUUAGAGAUGUUGGUGGUUAUUGUAAUUCUAGCCGGCUGGUCGCUUUGUUAAUUCAAAGUUGGGUUAAGCUCGAGUCUUUUUUUUAAAGCUCAGCUAUUUCUAUGUCCUUGAUCCUCUGAUGAGGUAGAGUAUUGAGAUCAGAUUGAGUCAACCACAAAUGACAUCGAUGAGAUGGCCUUCAGGCUUCACUGUCGUGUAACAGAAAUAAUAUUACAAAAUAGU